GCUCGCUUUGGCAGGACAUAGAGUAAAACUGGAACAAUACAGAGAAGAUUAACAUGGCCCCUGAGCAAGGACGGCAUGCAAAUUCCUGAAGCGUUCCAUAUCUUU